rnacentral:rRNA from 1 species
UGAGGAAUAUUGCGCAAUGCCCGAAAGGGUGACGCAGCGACGCCGCGUGAAGGAUGAAGGCCCUCUGGGUCGUAAACUUCUUUGGUAGGGGAAUAACAGGUCGCUACAGGCGGCCGUGAAUGUACCCUAAGAACAAGCAUCGGCUAACUACGUGCCAGCAGCCGCGGUAAUACGUAGGAUGCGAGCGUUGUCCGGAUUUACUGGGUGUAAAGGGAGCGCAGGCGGAUCGGUAAGUCGGUGGUGAAAUCCUCAGGCUCAACCUGGGAACUGCCACCGAAACUGCUGGUCUUGAGUGUGGAAGAGGUCGAUGGAAUUCCUGGUGUAGCAGUGAAAUGCGUAGAUAUCAGGAAGAACACCGAUGGCGAAGGCAGUCGACUGGUCCACUACUGACGCUCAUGCUCGAAAGCGUGGGGAUCAAACAGG